rnacentral:sRNA from 2 species
CCGAGAACAUCGCCAGGGCAGAAAUGGGGGAACCACGUUCCUCCGGGCUCGCGCCACCCAGCGCGAGCCCUUGGGGUUAAGUCGGCCAUUCAAAGGCGCUUUUCAGCGCGCCCAAAAAUAGCCGGCCGGGCUUCCCGGCCCGAACCCGACAGCUAACCUCACAGGCGUGCGGGAAAGAUUUU